GUAGGUGAACCUGCGGAAGGAUCAUUAUUGAAUGAACUUGGUGUGGUUGUCGCUGGCCCUCUCGGGGGCAUGUGCACACCUACCAUCCUCAUCUCUCCACCUGUGCACCUCUUGUAGACUUGGAUUGACUUUCCGAGGCAACUCGGUCGGGAGGACUUGCUGGCACUAGCUGGCUUUCCUUGCAUUUCCAGGUCUACGUUUUUUCAUAUACCCCAUUGUAUGUAACAGAAUGUAUCAUUGGGCCUUGUGCCUAUAAACCUUAUACAACUUUCAGCAACGGAUCUCUUGGCUCUC
rnacentral:misc_RNA from 1 species